GGUGGGAUGAUGUCAAGUCAGCAUGGCCUUUAUAUCCUGGGCUACACACACGCUACAAUGGCAGAUACAAUAGGUCGCGAAACCGCGAGGUGGAGCCAAUCCUCAAAGUCUGUCUCAGUUCAGAUUGUAGGCUGCAACUCGCCUGCAUGAAGUCGGAGUUGCUAGUAAACGCAGGUCAGCUAUACUGCGUUGAAUACGUUCCCGGGGUUU
rnacentral:rRNA from 1 species